CCUACGGGAGGCAGCAGUGGGGAAUUUUGCGCAAUGCUCGUAAGAGUGACGCAGCGACGCCGCGUGAAUGACGAAGGCCUUCGGGUCGUAAAGUUCUUUCGACAGGGAAGAAAAGGCAUAUAAGUAACUGUGUAUGUAUUGACGGUACCUGUAUAAGCAGCCCCGGCUAACUCCGUGCCAGCAGCCGCGGUAAUACGGAGGGGGCGAGCGUUGUUCGAAGGGACUGGGCGUAAAGAGGACGUAGGCGUUGUUGUAAGUCAUUAGUUAAAGACUAGAGCUCAACUUUAGUAAGGCUAGUGAUACUAUAAUACUAGAGUAUCAGAGAGGAUUGCAGAAUUCCUGGUGUAGCGGUGAAAUGCGUAGAUAUCAGGAGGAAUACCGUUAGCGAAGGCGGCAAUCUGGCUGGAAACUGACGCUGAGGUGCGAAAGCGUGGGUAGCAAACAGGAUUAGAUACCCCUGUAGUC
rnacentral:rRNA from 1 species